UAGGGAAUCUUCGGCAAUGGGGGGAACCCUGACCGAGCAACGCCGCGUGAGUGAAGAAGGUUUUCGGAUCGUAUAGCUCUGUUGUUAAGGAAGAACGAGUGUGAGAAUGGAAAGUUCAUGCUGUGACGGUACUUAACCAGAAAGGGACGGCUAACUACGUGCCAGCAGCCGCGGUAAUACGUAGGUCCCGAGCGUUGUCCGGAUUUAUUGGGCGUAAAGCGAGCGCAGGCGGUUAGAAAAGUCUGAAGUGAAAGGCAGUGGCUCAACCAUUGUAGGCUUUGGAAACUGUUUAACUUGAGUGCAGAAGGGGAGAGUGGAAUUCCAUGUGUAGCGGUGAAAUGCGUAGAUAUAUGGAGGAACACCGGUGGCGAAAGCGGCUCUCUGGUCUGUAACUGACGCUGAGGCUCGAAAGCGUGGGGAGCGAACAGG
rnacentral:rRNA from 1 species